GACGAACGCUGGCGGUGUGCUUAAUACAUGCAAGUCGAACGGCCCUUCGGGGCAGUGGCGGACGGCUGAGUAACGCGUAGGUAACGUGCCCUUUACUGGGGGAUAACAGAGGGAAACCUCUGCUAAUACCGCAUAAGUCAUAGGUUGAAAUACUUAUGAUUAAAGAUUCAUCGGUAAAGGAUCGGCCUGCGUCUGAUUAGCUAGUUGGUAGGGUAAAAGCCUACCAAGGCAAUGAUCAGUAGUUGGUCUGAGAGGAUGACCAGCCAGAGUGGGACUGAGACACGGGCCCACGACUUCUACGGAAGGCAGCAGUAGGGAAUUUUGCGCAAUGGGCGAAAGCCUGACGCAGCAACACCGCGUGUAGGAUGA
rnacentral:rRNA from 1 species